GCAAACCGCACGACGUAGAUCACCGGAAAGUUUCAAGAAAAUGUUGACCGAAAAAUUUACAACUUAAAAACAAUGUUUUGGAUAUUCUAUAGUUUUAACUCCUGCAAUGAAGAUAUCAUGAACGAAUGUACGCCACGAUGCACAGGAAAGCUAUUCGCAACAUACUUUUGAAGCUUAUUUAUUCGAAUACACACUGUAAAUUAAGCUCACUAAACAUUUAGAUGAAAAUACAGAAAAUUUUGGAAUAUCAAAAGUGGCUUUGGCUUUUGAGCCACUACCUACUUUGUUUUAAGCAAAUGUUAGUACUAACUAAUGCCAGAAAUCUUUAGACGACGCAAUAAAGUGUAAAAUGAAA